rnacentral:rRNA from 1 species
AUACGUAGGGAGCAAGCGUUGUCCGGAAUUAUUGGGCGUAAAGGGCGCGCAGGCGGUCUUUUAAGUCUUGUGUUUAAACCCGGGGCUCAACCUCGGGACGCACGGGAAACUGGGAGGCUUGAGUGCAGGAGAGGAAAGUGGAAUUCCACGUGUAGCGGUGAAAUGCGUAGAGAUGUGGAGGAACACCAGUGGCGAAGGCGACUUUCUGGCCUGCAACUGACGCUGAGGCGCGAAAGCGUGGGGAGCGAACAGGAUUAGAUACCCUGGUAGUCCACGCCGUAAACGAUGAAUGCUAGGUGUUAGGGAGCACGAACUCCUUAGUGCCGAAGUCAACACAUUAAGCAUUCCGCCUGGGGAGUACGGUCGCAAGACUGAA